CCACUCUCCAAUAUCAAAAUCUUAAAAAAGAGAAUCGAGGUUAUAUCACAUUUACUUUUCUUGCUUUGAGAUUGUGAUGGGACUGGGAAACGACAACAAUGUUAAUGUAGUUAAUACUGAGUCUCACAUCUUUGUAAGUGUAAUGGAAUUUGAUGGCGACUGUUAUACAAGUGAGAGGUUUAGCCAGCUAUAAAACCAGGUUUUAUCCACCAUUUUCUUCAUAAGAAAAUGCCUGAUAUAAGUCAGGAAUAUGACAAUUGUUAUCCAUUCGUUUGCUGUGUUUGAGCUUUUGAUUUUGCCAUUUAAUUAAGGACUUUCCGUUUUGAAUUUUCCUCGGAGUUCAGUAUUAUUGUAAUUUGACUUUCUACUAUGACGUCCCAUGAUCGAGGUUGAACCGACUUUGUUAGUAUUAUGUUAAAUUUGGCAUGAAUGGACAAUUUUCAAAAAUGCUCAUUUAAAUGAAUGAUCAUAGGAUUUAAUAACUUUUUUUUUCAUUUCUCUUUUUACAAAUGCGCUACACGAGGAUGGGACAUACGCUGGAAUCGACCAGAAUUAUUUUUUUUUAACAUACAGAAUUUCUAAAUUCUAAAUCUAAAUUUUCUCAUUUUCUUCAAACGUUUAUUUAAAAAAAAGAAAGUAUAUAAGUUUUUAUUUGAACGUUACAAGCAGAUUCAA
rnacentral:lncRNA from 1 species